rnacentral:lncRNA from 1 species
ACAUAUAAUUAAUAUAAUUAAUUAGUUACUAUAUUUUUUCAUUCUUAUACAAUAUCCAUUGCUAAUAAUUUUUUAAUUUAUUAAAUUAUUUUUAAUUAAUAUUUUGAUAUUAAUUAAUUAGACAANAAAAUAUUAUUAAAUUAAAAUUAUAAUUACUUUUAUUCAUACUAUUCCAAUCUAACCAUUCAAAUACUACCAACCUUAUUCUCAAAAACAACCUAAUUUUCAUUGAAAUAAAAAUUUACUCUAAUUCCUAUUUAUAUCUGAAUUUGUAUCUAUUCCUGAAAUAAGUAUCCAAACCAUUAAAGGAAUAACUAAAAGACAAUAAGCAAACUUGUAUUUUAAUUUGUGCUAAUAAGUAGAAGAUUAGAAUCUUUUUAUAGAAUUAAUUCAUUUCCAAUCAAUUUAAUGGUGCUUGAUCCGAGGUUCAGAUCUGUUGGAAAUAUUUUAUUAGAGUAUUUUAGAUAGUAAAAGAAAAAAAUAUAUAAAAUUUUAGUGCACUCUGUUCAUCAAUCAAACCAAUUUUUAUUCUUGAUGUUUUUUAUCGGUUGUACUUUUAGGGCUUGUUUGGUUCAUCCAUUUUUGGUAUGGAAUGGAAAUCGGUUUGAUCAAAUCUGGUUAAUUUUGUUUCGUUCGCAUGAAUUGGUUUGAGAUUCCUAUUCCGGACUGGAAUGGGAAUGGCCCAUUAGCCUUCAACUUCAUUCCGGUCUUCUAGCCCGGAUUGAGAUUACAUUUCGAAAGCCCACAAAGUUCUCGAAGCCUAUGUGACCAUCUCACCCUCCUUCUCUUCACCCCUUUCUCAUCAAAA